rnacentral:rRNA from 1 species
GCUCGUGGAUCGAUGAAGACCGCAGCUAAAUGCGCGUCAGAAUGUGAACUGCAGGACACAUGAACACCGACAAGUUGAACGCAUAUUGCGCACCGUACAACAGUACGAUGUACACAUUUUUGAGUGCCUAUAUUUAUCCAUUCAACUGUACGUGCAUGCGCGUCCCGCCGGCCGAACGGCUGGCGCGAGGACAGUCGCACGCCGUACGCGCAGUGACGUUUUCCCGGCCCGGCCCGGUAGAACGUUCAAGAUAGUCAGGCGCGCCCCCACCCGGGCGUGGUUGAUGAAUACAUGCCCUAGACCAACGCGCUUAAUUAUGUUGUAUUUCAUCGGCACACCCAUAUACCUAUACCCCAGUAGGCCUCAAAUAAUGUGUGACUACCCCCUAAAUUUAAGCA